rnacentral:ribozyme from 1 species
CCCUAACGCUGGGCAGACACCUCUACGUGGUGUUGGGGAUUAGUACUCACAGUUGAAGGAUUGCUCAACUGUGAGGAAGCUAAUAUCUGCC